rnacentral:rRNA from 1 species
CAUCACUACGCUAGAUGCAUAUCAAUAAGCGGAGGAAAAGAAACUAACAAGGAUUCCCCUAGUAACGGCGAGUGAAGCGGGAAGAGCUCAAAUUUGAAAUCUUAAAAGGUUUUCCUUUUACGAAUUGUAGUUUAAAGAAGUGUUUUCUGUUGAAGUUUUGGUACAAAUUCUUUGGAAUAGGACAUCAUAGAGGGUGAGAAUCCCGUAUUUGACCUUAAUUUUUCAACUUUGUGAUACACUUUCAAAGAGUCGGAUUGUUUGGGAAUGCAGUCCAAAAUGGGUGGUAAAUUUCAUCUAAGGCUAAAUAUUGGCGAGAGACCGAUAGCGAACAAGUACCGUGAGGGAAAGAUGAAAAGAACUUUGAAAAGAGAGUUAAAUAGUACGUGAAAUUGUCAAAAGGGAAGCGUUUGGCACCAGUGUUGUUUUUCUAAAAAUCAAUUUAAAAUUUGCUUAUGUUAAGUGUUUUAGACUUUAAUCAGGCUAUAUAUUUAAUUCUUUGUAAAUUUUGAAUGCACUUUUUAGUUAACAAGUCAACAUCAAUUUCUUUUGCUUGUAAAAAGAUAAGAGGAAGGUGGCUUGAGAUUCGUUUCAAGUGUUUAUAGCCUCUUGCCCAUGCAGUAGGAGAGAUUGAGGUCUGCAGCAUAGAUCCUUCGGGGCUAGAUGCUUUUGCUGCUAGAAGCUAGUAUUAUAUAGACAACUUGUUGAUUAUGUAAUAUAUUAGUUUCUACUCGCUAAAGUUAUUUUACCUACGCUUAGGAUGUUGACUGAUAUGUAGUCGU